rnacentral:rRNA from 1 species
AACGAACGCUGGCGGCAGGCCUUACACAUGCAAGUCGAACGGACAUAUUUAUAUGUCAGUGGCGGACGAGUGAGUAACACGUGGGAAUAUACCUUUUAGUUUGGAAUAACAUUGGGAAACUAACGCUAAUACCGAAUGUGCUCGAGAGAGGAAAGAUUUAUCGCUAAGAGAUUAGCCCGCGUUAGAUUAGCUAGUUGGUGAGGUAAAGGCUCACCAAGGCGACGAUCUAUAGCUGGUCUGAGAGGAUGAUCAGCCACAUUGGGACUGAGACACGGCCCAAACUCCUACGGGAGGCAGCAGUGGGGAAUAUUGGACAAUGGGCGCAAGCCUGAUCCAGCCAUGCCGCGUGAGUGAUGACGGCCUUAGGGUUGUAAAGCUCUUUUACUCGGGAAGAUAAUGACUGUACCGAGAGAAUAAGCCCCGGCUAACUUCGUGCCAGCCGCCGCCGUAA